rnacentral:rRNA from 1 species
GUGGAUUAGAUACCCUGGUAGUCCACACAGUAAACGAUGAAUACUCGCUGUUUGCGAUAUACUGCAAGCGGCCAAGCGAAAGCAUUAAGUAUUCCACCUGGGGAGUACGCCGGCAACGGUGAAACUCAAAGGAAUUGACGGGGGCCCGCACAAGCGGAGGAACAUGUGGUUUAAUUCGAUGAUACGCGAGGAACCUUACCCAGGCUUAAAUUGCAGAUGAAUAUAGUGGAAACAUUAUAGCCUUCGGGCAUCUGUGAAGGUGCUGCACGGUUGUCGCCAGCU